rnacentral:rRNA from 1 species
AUGAACGAGUACCACGAGCUCUGGCAAAGGUUAGAUGUGGUGAACCUAACACGUGACGCAAGAGAUAGAAUCAGAUGGGCAUGGGAAGCAAAUGGCACUUACUCGGCGAAAUCGGCUUACAUGACCAAGUUCAUGGGAAGAGAGGUUAUACCGUACGCAGAUACGGUGUGGAAGCAUAGAGCUCCGCUCCAAUGCCGCUUUUUCACCUGGCUCGCAAUGCGGAACCAUUGUUGGACUUCUGAUAGACUGGCCCAGAGAGGCCUCCCACAUCAGCCGUCUUGCCCGCUGUGUGACCAACACACCGAGUCCAUACGACACAUUCUACUCAACUGCGUGCCCUCGAGGAUUGUGUGGGCUCGGAUUUGUACUGCGCUCGGAAGACUUGACCAAGCUCUGGGAUUGGCAAAUGAGUUAGUAGAGUGGUGCACGAUGAGGCAAUGCGGCACCUGCUCUCCAAAGGAUUUGAAAGCUAUAAUCACGCUCACUCUCUGGGAGCUUUGGAAGCAUAGAAACGACGUGGUCUUCGACGGUGCUCCGCCUUCCACUAGGCAGGUGAUCAAGAACAUCAAUCAUGAGGCGAGAACAUGGAGAACUACGGGACUUCUCGAAGGGGACUUAGACUCCUUUGGCAGGAUGUCGACGUGGGAUGAUAGCGAAUAG